UGAGCACAACAAGCUCGACCGCCGAGACGUUCUCCUCGGCCUCGGUGGCCUCUAUGGUCUGGGCACCACCCUCCCAGCGCUUAGCCUCCCCAUUCAAGCACCAGAUAUCUCCCAGUGCGGCCCGGCCACCCUCCCCCCCGGUGCCAGACAACUCAACUGCUGCCCUCCCUACACCUCUACCAUCGUCGACUACAAGCUCCCCUCCUCAACCGCCCCCCUCCGUGUCCGCCCCAUUGCGCAUUCAGCCGACCCGGA
rnacentral:misc_RNA from 1 species